AGCGAACGCUGGCGGCAGGCCUAACACAUGCAAGUCGAACGAACUCUUCGGAGUUAGUGGCGGACGGGUGAGUAACACGUGGGAGCGUGCCUUUAGGUUCGGAAUAACUCAGGGAAACUUGUGCUAAUACCGAAUGUGCCCUUCGGGGGAAAGAUUUAUCGCCUUUAGAGCGGCCCGCGUCUGAUUAGCUAGUUGGUGAGGUAAAGGCUCACCAAGGCGACGAUCAGUAGCUGGUCUGAGAGGAUGAUCAGCCACAUUGGGACUGAGACACGGCCCAAACUCCUACGGGAGGCAGCAGUGGGGAAUCUUGCGCAAUGGGCGAAAGCCUGACGCAGCCAUGCCGCGUGAAUGAUGAAGGUCUUAGGAUUGUAAAAUUCUUUCACCGGGGACGAUAAUGACGGUACCCGGAGAAGAAGCCCCGGCUAACUUCGUG
rnacentral:rRNA from 1 species